rnacentral:tRNA from 2 species
GGCCAGUUAGCUCAGUAGGUAGAGCAGAGGACUGAAAAUCCUCGUGUCGGGAGUUCGAUUCUCUCACUGGCCACCA